rnacentral:lncRNA from 1 species
UUAAGUUAUGUAGUCUGUUUUCUUAUAGGGAUAAAAAAUUAAAACCUAAUUGCCAUAAAAAUAACCAAGAAGAAGCAACGAUAUAGAAAUUACAUAUAUAUCCAUAAAUCAGACAUUUGACAAUCCGAUAGAAAAUGUCUCAGACAGAAAUCCAAAGAGGAUAAAAACAGGCAAUUGGAAGUGAAAUGAGUAUAGAUUAUUAUAUGAUUAUUUUAGAAAGGAAAUUAAGCACCGGUGAAGCUUGGUGGCUUGUAGGCGAUGAAACUGAUGCACUGGACCUGACGGUUGUUGUCGAAUCCAAUGAUUCUAAUAAAGGCGUUAGGGUACUCCGUCUUGCACUCUUGCACUUCCUUCAACACUUGAGCAGAGUCAGUGCAUCCAAACAAAGGAAGCUUCCACAUUGUCCAAUAACGGCCAUCGUAGUAUCCAGGUGUGCUUCCAUGCUCACGGUACACAAAUCCGUGCUAUAUAGACAUACCAUUCAAAAUCAUGAUUCACAUGGUAUAAAAUGGAUGUUUAGAUACAAGUAAACAAAAUUUUGUUUUUAUUACCUCCAACUCAAAUUCAACACAAGGAAUCCACUUGUUGCGGAGAAGGUAGUCAACUUCUUUGGCCAAUUCAACGUCAGUAAGGUCAGGAAGAUAAGAGAGAGUCUCAAACUUCUUCUUUCCAACUGGUGGCCACACCUAUAAAUCCCAUUUGCAGUUAAUAAAUAGGAAUUCCCUUUUGUAUAUACACAUUUUUCAAUCCGGUACGUUAUUAUAUACUAUUGUUCACUCGGAUUUUCACAUGUACCAGUUCCACAUAAUAAAGGACGGGCCUACAACUCUAGUGAUAUUUACCUUCAUGCAGCUAACUCUUCCUCCGUUGUUUGCAAUGGAAGUAAUAUCAGUGUUGCUUUUGCGGGUGACUGGGAAUGCAGCGGAUGACUUCAAGCCGGUGAAUGGAGCAACCAUGGUGGCUUGAGCCGGUGAGGUAGCCACAGCGGCGGAGGAGAGCAUAGAGGAAGCCAUUAUUACUUCUUUUUCUCUUUUCUAUUACUUGUUUCUCUAUUGCUUUGGUCAUCUAUAUAUAGUGAGGCCGGCAUGAGGCAUAAAGCCCUUAGAUCAAAGAGUGCGGGAUUCAUGUCUGAUGAUAACGUCGUUACCUGCCACAGGAUUAAGGAAAGGUGUUGUCUUGGGAGUCUGCAAUACCUUUUUUCACCAGACCAGACAUUGCCUUCCCGGUAAAUCGUCUAGCUCAAUUUCUGCAGCGACCUACAGACCUUCACUGGCAAGCAGUCAAGCGAAUUCUUCGCUAUCUGGCUGGUACGUCUGCUCAUGGGAUUCUCAUUCGUCCUGAUACACCAUUGAAGCUCCACGCAUACUCCGAUGCCGACUGGGCAGGCGAUGCUGACGAUUAUUGCUCCACAAACGCCUAUAUCGUGUACCUUGGGAGCAAUCCAAUUUCUUGGAGCUCAAAGAAGCAAACGGGAGUGGCUCGCUCGUCUACGGAAGCCGAAUACAGGGCCGUCGCCAAUGCAGCAGCGUAACUACUCUGGGUAUGUUCGCUUUUCACUGGGCUGCGUAUACCGUUACCAGAGAUGCCAGUGAUAUACUGUGAUAAUGUUGGUGCCACCUACCUUGCUGCCAAUCCUGUAUUUCACUCGAAGAUGAAGCAUAUAGCCCUUGAUUUUCACUUUAUCCGGCACCAUGUGCAAUCUGGAGCGCUACGAGUCUCCCACCUCUCGACUAAGGACCAGUUGGCUGAUGCUCUCACUAAACCACUUCCUCGACCGCGCUUCCAAGAACUUUUGUGCAAGAUUGGAAUCACUCAUGUUACUCCAUCUUGAGGGGGUGUAUAGGAGAUAUAUGUCAUUAGGGUCAUAACUGUAAUUAGUCAAUACCUAAUCACUUAUGUACUCUGUAUAAAUACUGUACUUGUACAUAUUAAUAAGAUAUUCAACCUCCAUUUAUACAUCUAUCAUCUUUCUAUUUUUCUCUUUAUUAUCUCCAAUAUCCAAGUCUAUACUUUUCGGAAAUCUUCAUUUUCCCCUUUUUUUUUCCCUUAUUCCUCUCAAAGCAAGUAAACCUUCAUUGAUUUGGGCUUUCAUUUCAAAAUGUUUUAUGAUUUAGGUCUUUUAAGUAUUUCCUGAAAAUGUCGUCGUUUCACUCCACGGUUAUUUUGGUGUCGUUGGAUUACGAAAUGAUGAAAAUAAUUUUUUUGUCGAAAAACUAUUUGUUGUUUACGUUUAACCAUUUUUAUUCAACCUUUUGGCUAGUUUUACGUAAUUUUUUUCUCAUUGUUUGUAAUAUUUUUUACUGGCAACUUUGUUACGAAGAGCGUUAAAGACACGAAUCAGGAGAAGACACUAUGAAUGGAGAAGUGUGUGACGAUUCUAGGGAGAGUGGGCGACGACUCUACAGGAGAGUGGGCGAUGACUCGAAAUGGGUGAGGAGUAAAGAGGGCGACACUCUACGGGAGAGUGGACGAUGACUCAUUGCUCGUUGUUAAAUUAUUUAAAAGUGUCUGUCUAACUAAAACGUUUUUUAUAUAAUUAAUUAAUUAUUCAAUACAUUUAAAAAAAACUUGUUUCUCAUUUUGUAAAUUUUAAAACUUUUUUAGAUAAUGUUUUGUUAAAAUUGAUUUUAGAAAAAUUUUAAAUAGUUUUUGGAUUAUUUUUUCUGUUAACAAAGUUUAUUUUUAAUUUUAUAUGGCAGGAAAUGCAGGAAACAUUCCCAAGGCGCUCGACAACAACGUCCCACCCAAGUUGGUGUGAAUACUGUAUCAGCGUCUGGAUUUCUUGUAUCUUCUCCCGCACCAAAUUUUCAAACCUUGGUCUCUUGGGAAGUGCCAAUUACCAUGAGCGUCUCGGAGUUAGUUCAACAACCUAGACGAAAACUUCUGACGAGACUCCAUCCUCAUGAGCGGACGGUGCGAUGUGGUAAAUUUUUCUUUAUUUAAACUACACAUUCCUUUAAUUCUUUUUCUUAGGUUCAAUUACUCAAGCAACUGAAUUAGCGAAAGUAUUUUGAAGAUGAUGUAUAUAAUGCUGAAACACGCUUAUCUGACAUACAUGGACAAGACAAGGGAUGAUCGAUGUUAAUUCUUCUAAUUGUUUGAUUCAUGAUUAUUGACUCUUAACAGUUUUUAACUAAUAUUAUUUUUAUUUCUAUUUUAAUAAGAGUUCACUUGGAAACUGUAGCCCAUGACUCGAUCAGGUGGAAAAUGCAUUCCACCAUCAUGCACAAAAAGCAUGACAACUAUCAAAUCAAUGAGUAGAAACAGAAGCGGGUUGUCGGCAAGACGCCAAAGUCAAUCAACCCAAUUGUUUGGGAGGGAUUGAAGGAGUAUUUGGCAUUAACGAAUGCACAUGCUACUUUCUAGACCAACUCAGGUAACCGGCGUAGCGACCAUCGCUUGGUCAGGUUAGGUUGUGGAGCACAAUCCUUUUUUUUUAUCCAUGUCAGCUUUGUAUACUGCUGACCUCGAACUUGUUCAAGAGCUCAAGAAGAAAAUGUACGAAUGCGUUGGAGAAGAAAAAUGAAGCAAAUACGGCUCAUAAUGUGGGACACGCCCGUCAAAUCAUAGAGGACAACAAAUUCAUGCAAGCGAUGCGUCGUUGCAAGUUUGGCGACUUUCGGUUUUUUUUUUCAAACUCUUAAAUAUUGGUUUCUUGUUAAAAAUAUUAAAGUAUUUGGUUUAAUAUUUUCGAAUUAUAAAUAUUAAAUAUUUGAAUUUUAAAAAUUAUGUCGGGAAUUCGUUGGGAUAUUCAUCAGGAAUAAUUUCUGACAAACGUGUGAUCUCGUCGGGAGAAUUCUCGACGACCAAGAUCGUCGGAAGAAUUCUCGACGAAAUUUUUGGUUAUGAAAAAAAUUCCCAACGAACCUUUGGUCAUCAGAAAUAAUUAUUACUGAUAACUUAUCGAGAAAAACUACUCACGAGUCACGACCAAGUCGCGUUGGGAAUUCUUCUGACAGAAUUCCAACAACAUUUUCCAUGACCGAUUUUGUCGAAAAUUCUUUUGGAAAGUAGUUGUGGGGAAUUCAUUGCCGUCUUUUUAAAAAUCUCCUAAGAAUUUUUUGUCAAAUGAAAUAAAACCGAUAAAAAGUGGUUAUCGGAAAUCCGUGGAGAAAGAUAAUUCCCAAUGACUUUCCGACGAAUAUAGUCAUCGAGAAUAACUUGUUUUCUUGCAGUGUAUCUUCUGUAUGGCAUCCUCCACAGAUAUGACUAUCACAGAUUUUAAGUGGACCAUCCUUUUCUUCCAGGAUUAACUACGUGUAAGUGAGAUGACAUGCAUGAACUUGAGAAAAAGUACUUUGAUAUUAUUGAAAAAUUAUAUUUUUUUGGUAAGAUGCUAAGUAAAAUUAUAAAAUUUAGAAAACAAUUCCUGUAAAACAAUUAAAAAUAAGAAUAUAGAUCCAUAUGUAUGUGUUAACUAAUAGCGGGGAUAUAUUUAUAUAAUGUAUCUUAUUUCCGAUAACAAUUUACGAAUAAUAUGUAUUAAAGGAUCUCAUACCACGUAAGUAGUGUGAAACAUCAAAUGAUGACUACCUUAUGAAAUGAUUAAAUAAAUCUAUAGUAAAAAAAAAUCUACACAAACCGUAUAGGAUACAAAAUGAUACAUUGGUGCUCUUAUAUUUGAAUAUCUGAUGAACUAAUUAACUUAAGAUGAAAUCUGUGUUUUGUAGGUAAAAUUGUUUCUUGUUCUAUAAAGCAAUUACCACUAACAUUAUCGAAACCUUUUUGUUAAGUUAUGUAGUCUGUUUUCUUAUAGGGAUAAAAAAUUAAAACCUAAUUGCCAUAAAAAUAACCAAGAAGAAGCAACGAUAUAGAAAUUACAUAUAUAUCCAUAAAUCAGACAUUUGACAAUCCGAUAGAAAAUGUCUCAGACAGAAAUCCAAAGAGGAUAAAAACAGGCAAUUGGAAGUGAAAUGAGUAUAGAUUAUUAUAUGAUUGUUUUAGAAAGGAAAUUAAGCACCGGUGAAGCUUGGUGGCUUGUAGGCGAUGAAACUGAUGCACUGGACCUGACGGUUGUUGUCGAAUCCAAUGAUUCUAAUAAAGGCGUUAGGGUACUCCGUCUUGCACUCUUGCACUUCCUUCAACACUUGAGCAGAGUCAGUGCAUCCAAACAAAGGAAGCUUCCACAUUGUCCAAUAACGGCCAUCGUAGUAUCCAG